AAAUUGAAGAGUUUGAUCAUGGCUCAGAUUGAACGCUGGCGGCAGGCCUAACACAUGCAAGUCGAACGGUAACAGGAAGCAGCUUGCUGCUUUGCUGACGAGUGGCGGACGGGUGAGUAAUGUCUGGGAAACUGCCUGAUGGAGGGGGAUAACUACUGGAAACGGUAGCUAAUACCGCAUAACGUCGCAAGACCAAAGAGGGGGACCUUCGGGCCUCUUGCCAUCAGAUGUGCCCAGAUGGGAUUAGCUUGUUGGUGGGGUAACGGCUCACCAAGGCGACGAUCCCUAGCUGGUCUGAGAGGAUGACCAGCCACACUGGAACUGAGACACGGUCCAGACUCCUACGGGAGGCAGCAGUGGGGAAUAUUGCACAAUGGGCGCAAGCCUGAUGCAGCCAUGCCGCGUGUAUGAAGAAGGCCUUCGGGUUGUAAAGUACUUUCAGCGGGGAGGAAGGUGUUGUGGUUAAUAACCGCAGCAAUUGACGUUACCCGCAGAAGAAGCACCGGCUAACUCCGUGCCAGCAGCCGCGGUAAUACGGAGGGUGCAAGCGUUAAUCGGAAUUACUGGGCGUAAAGCGCACGCAGGCGGUCUGUUAAGUCAGAUGUGAAAUCCCCGGGCUCAACCUGGGAACUGCAUCUGAUACUGGCAGGCUUGAGUCUCGUAGAGGGGGGUAGAAUUCCAGGUGUAGCGGUGAAAUGCGUAGAGAUCUGGAGGAAUACCGGUGGCGAAGGCGGCCCCCUGGACGAAGACUGACGCUCAGGUGCGAAAGCGUGGGGAGCAAACAGGAUUAGAUACCCUGGUAGUCCACGCCGUAAACGAUGUCGACUUGGAGGUUGUGCCCUUGAGGCGUGGCUUCCGGAGCUAACGCGUUAAGUCGACCGCCUGGGGAGUACGGCCGCAAGGUUAAAACUCAAAUGAAUUGACGGGGGCCCGCACAAGCGGUGGAGCAUGUGGUUUAAUUCGAUGCAACGCGAAGAACCUUACCUGGUCUUGACAUCCACGGAAGGUCUCAGAGAUGAGACUGUGCCUUCGGGAACCGUGAGACAGGUGCUGCAUGGCUGUCGUCAGCUCGUGUUGUGAAAUGUUGGGUUAAGUCCCGCAACGAGCGCAACCCUUAUCCUUUGUUGCCAGCGGUUAGGCCGGGAACUCAAAGGAGACUGCCAGUGAUAAACUGGAGGAAGGUGGGGAUGACGUCAAGUCAUCAUGGCCCUUACGACCAGGGCUACACACGUGCUACAAUGGCAUAUACAAAGAGAAGCGACCUCGCGAGAGCAAGCGGACCUCAUAAAGUAUGUCGUAGUCCGGAUUGGAGUCUGCAACUCGACUCCAUGAAGUCGGAAUCGCUAGUAAUCGUGGAUCAGAAUGCCACGGUGAAUACGUUCCCGGGCCUUGUACACACCGCCCGUCACACCAUGGGAGUGGGUUGCAAAAGAAGUAGGUAGCUUAACCUUCGGGAGGGCGCUUACCACUUUGUGAUUCAUGACUGGGGUGAAGUCGUAACAAGGUAACCGUAGGGGAACCUGCGGUUGGAUCACCUCCUUA
rnacentral:rRNA from 1 species